CAGAAAAGUUUUCGAUCCGAGAAAGGGUUUUUUCCUGAUCUGUGAAAAAAUUGUUCGCUGAUAGUUUUUCGCUGUCCCAGUUGUUAUGGGUGGUUCAAAAGUUUCCAGAUUUAUCUGAAAAUUUGGGAAAGUUUUAGGUUUUUUGGAAGUUUCCAAUUUUAUAUUGUUUUUGUCUGUAAUUGCUCGUAAGUUAGUAUUUAAAAUUAAAAUUGUAGUAAUUUUUGGGUUUUGACGUUUGAGAGGCUGAUUAUUUGGUGCUUUUGUCAGUUGCUGGAACUCCAUAUUUUCAGGAGAAAAUGACAAACAAACGGCCUUUCCAUGGUGACGAUUCUUAUGAGGUUGCUUGGAAGCACCCAAGACAAUUGGAAUACGCAAAUGAGCCUGCUCCAAUUGUGGAUACUUUUCCUUUUAGUAGCGCCCCCCAGAAAUUUCAAAUUUCAGGUACCAAAUAGUUGGAUGGUCAAUUAGUCACUAAUUAUUCGAUUUCCAAGUUGUGCAUAUAAUGGUUGGCGGAAACUUUAGAAGAUGUAGAUGUAUAACAUGCUCCAUGGAUCUGGAAUUGCAAUUUAGAGUUUAAUCUGGACCAUUAACACAAUCUGACCUUCAAAAUGAAAUAAUGGCAUCAGUUUUUUAUACUCUAAUGCAAGUUAGUGCUAUCUAUUGUGAGUUGAUAUAAUGUUUACGAGGGCUAAUGCAUGUUUUUGUUAGCUGGGUAUUUUCUGUAGAUAUUUAGUUUGAUCCUAUAGCUGAUGUAAUUACUAUAUGAAGAUGGUGAAGGUGAUGGGAGUUUUAGUACAUGUCCAGAUGAAGGAGGGUUUGCAAGUGACUU
rnacentral:sRNA from 1 species